GGAACAUGGCGCACUUACGCAUUAAAUAUUACACAUGGUUUCGAAAUUUUUGACGUUUCUAGUAAGUUUUAGCUUGUGGCUCAUUAAUCACGCGUCUAAGGACGGAUAAGUAGUGUUGGCAAAGGUACCGCAUUCUGAAAGGGGUGUAAACCGUGGUGAAACUCGUGUUGGUGCGGUAGAAAGGGGGUGUGUGGAAACUAUGGUAAACGAGUCUCCGUCGUUAAGCGACAGAGUAAGUAGUGAAGUGGAGUAUCCGUUAUUAGGCAGUGCUGACAAACAAAGUAGGGUCUGGUUUAUAGUGGAGCUGGGAGGGGCGAGCAUAAGGGACGAAGUUGGGGAAACAUGUCCGAUGCGAUCAUACCAGCACUAAAGCACC
rnacentral:rRNA from 1 species